GGCCUUGUAGCUCAAUUCGCAGAGCGUCCGCCUCUGAAGCGGAAGGUUGGUGGUGCAACUCCACCCGAGGCUGCCA
rnacentral:tRNA from 1 species